rnacentral:lncRNA from 1 species
CUUUUACAUCUGGGGACCUGGUACUCAGGGAUGGGGGCUCAGGACGGACGGGCUUGCCCACAUCUGGAGAGAGGGCCAGGUCCAGAAGAGCCGCUCAUCUUGUGCUCAGGGGAUGACCUUUGACAUGGAGUUUCUUUGCUUUUUUAGGGGAAUUUGAAAAAGACUCUGCUGAGUGCUUGAAGCAUCUGGAGCUUCUGGAGGGAGAGGAAGGUCAGAAUUUGAACAAAGGGGACUCAGAGGAGGAAGCCGAGUAUCCUGACCCGCUUCUUCUCGGAGGCCUGAUUCCAGAGAAGGGUUUUGCUUCAUUUGACUUGUGUUUCUUGCAAGAGUUCAUCUUUAAACUUCUGCAAAUCAAAGAAUCUGAGCUCAGAGAGCUGAGGAAGACUCUAGAAAGAGCGCAAGCAGAGCAGGAGGCCCUGCAGAGGCAGCUGCUGGAGUUCCAGAACCGACAGCAGUGGCUGGAGGUGGAGCUGGCCAGCCUGAAGACCUAUGGGGUCAUCCUGGAGAAGGAGUUUGAGAACCUGAACACAGUCAUCAUGCUGCCCCACUUUGGCCUGCGAGUAAUGGACACGGGUGAGUCCCUCUGCCCCCUCCUCUGGCCUCACACAUGCUUCCUCCAGGUCCUCACUGGUCUGUGAAACUGAGGCCCAGAAAUUCCUGUCCAUUCACUUAGUCGUGCCUUCAUCCCUCACUUCUUCACUUAGCCUACUUCUUGCACGGCCAGUGCAUCCAAGCUUGGUGCCCAGUGCAAGGGAUGUGGAGAUGAAUGGUCACCCUAAAUCCAGCACCCACUGGCAUCAGUCCCUGAUCUGGGUGCUGCCAGGGGAUGAAGAUACGGAGAAGCCCCUGGCCUCAAGCUCUAACUGCCUGGACCCUCGGUCACUAGACUGUUGGGGUGCAAUGUGUUCCAGAGGAGAGCUGCCCCCCAUGGACAAGAUGCUGUGGGCACUCAGGUGCGAGGCAGUUCCCUAUCUCUGAGAGGUGGGCUUCUAGAAGGACUUGACAGAGGAAGGACCCAAGAGGACAGUCCCAAACUCCUGAGACAAAGAAGGGCCCAGAGGUCUGCCAGUGGGGAGAGGUGAGCGAGGGCGCAGAGCAUGUUCAUGCUGCGUCUCACGCAGGCCUGGUGCCAACACCCUUCUCUGAAGAAAAUGUCAUGAGUACCACUUCAUUGUAAAUAUUUAAACAUGACUGCUUGGGGGAAUGUAAAAUGUGAACAUUCCUCUUCACUCCCCACACCCCUGCCCAGUCCCUUCCCUAGAAGUUUUUACUGUUCACAUCUUGCCAUUUCCUGUUUAUGAAUGAGGUGGUGGUGAGUGCAUGUGUCCUAAGUCACUUUAGUCGUGUCCAGCUCUGCAGCCCCAUGGACUGUAGCCCGCCAGGCUCCUCUGUUCAUGUGGUUCUCCAGGCAAGAAUACUGGAGUGGGUUGCCAUGCCCUCCUCCAGGAGAUCUUCUGGACCCAGGGAUUGAACCUGCAUCUCUUAUGUCUCCUGCAUUGGCAGGUGGGUUCUUUACCACUAGCGCCACCUGGGAAGCCCAAGGUGGUGGCCAAAGUCAUCAACAAGGGGGAACUUCUCCGGACAUGGCUGCCAUGUUGCUAUAUUGAGGCAAGGGGAAGGGGGCAGUUCCUAGGCAGU